rnacentral:rRNA from 1 species
UAGGGAAUAUUAGUAAUGGGCGAAAGCCUGAACUAGCAACGCCGCGUGUGCGAAGAAGGCCUUCGGGUUGUAAAGCACUUUUUGAGAGGAUGAGGAAGGACGGUACUCUCAGAACAAGUCUCGGCUAACUACGUGCCAGCAGCCGCGGUAACACGUAGGAGGCGAACGUUAUCCGGAUUUACUGGGUGUAAAGCGCGUGUAGGUGGUUUGGUAAGUAGGGCGUGAAAGCUCCUGGCUCAACUGGGAGAGGCCGUUCUAAACUGCCGAACUAGAGGAUGGUAGAGGGAGGUGGAAUUCCGGGUGUAGCGGUGGAAUGCGCAGAUAUCCGGAGGAACACCAGUGGCGAAAGCGGCCUCCUGGACCAUUCCUGACACCCAGACGCGAAAGCUAGGGUAGCAAACGG